AAUAACUUUUUUUUCUAGUGCCAAGGUCCAUGCUCCAGGUGUCAGAUGAUAUGUAUGGAUCAGGAGACUGGACAAAAGAGUCGAGAACCUCUAAGAACAUUGGGACUCUGGCGUGGCAAGAAGGUUCCGUUUGGUGUGCAUGCUCGUAUGCUUCCUUCUGCUGAAGAUUCUAGACAGUUUCUACGUGUUGGUGAUACAGUCCUUAUCAAACAAUGAGAAUCCUGAACUCAGCAGAAGACAGGACUCUUGAGGACUACUACUUCUUACAUUUUGAAAUUGAAUUCCACUUUUCCAAUGGUAUAACUUAAGCAGUUAUCAUGUGCUGGAUGGAAAUAAAUGUAGUUAUUUAUUUCUAGAAAACUAGAACGCCUAUUUUCUGUUAGAAAUUUGUGUAUUCUUUGAGGAUGACUAGUAUCCAUGAAUAUAUUCUUUGUUAUCAAAUCUAUUUGUUACUUCCUUAUACAGCUGUGUUAACUGCUACUCUCAAUUUUUUUCAUUUGAUAUCAUGUUUUUGUAUCAUGUUAUAAAUAAACUGCCUAAUGACCAAAAUAAUGUAUUCUAUUGUCUACAUUUUCAACAUAUUUUAAAACGUUUUUUGGGGGAUUUUGUUGGACAAAAAAAAAUGUUUUCUCAGUAAAACAAAACCAUCCCUGAUCAUUUUUCAUAUAUAUAUUUUUUUAAUUUUUACUUAAUUUGUGGCAUUUUACAUCACCAUAACUUCCCUCAGCAACUUUUCAUGUAACUAAAGAGACCAGUCCUUGAUACACUUCCUCAGUCAUAGAUUAGGCAUCUAUUACUGUUUUAUAAAAAUUAAUGCUAUUUUUUUUACUAUCAACAUAGUAUCUUUUCUUCACUCAAAUUUAAAAAAAAUAUUUAUCUAAGACCUGUAAACAAAAUAAAUAGUGUAUUUAUCAUGCUUCACACCAAAAUUUUGUGUCAUCUUGUCAAAUGUUAUGAAUGCUUUUCUAAAUCUCAUCUCUGCCACCAUAGGCCACCAACCAGCUUCCUCCAGGCAUCUCGGUUCUGGCAAGUCUCUCCAACUGACUCCACAUCUUACCCAUCUGCUAGGCAUUUUCUUCCAAAUUGCGGUGCCAUGUAUUUCUCGGCUGUCCCCUCUACCUCUUUUCUGGGCGGUUCCAGGUGCUUGCGAAGGGUAUGACCUAUCCAUCUCCAGCGCCUCUGAAGGAUAGUUACUUCUAUGGGCUGCUGCUUUGUUCAAACUAAGUUCAAACCCUGUUUACCAUCAUCCCCUGCUGAUGAUAUGGGCUAGGACUUGAUCAUUUUCAUUUCUGAAUGAAGGUCUCAAAGUUGUGAAACAAAACUAAGCAUGGUGCAUCAAUUAUGUCCACAAUUUUAUAAGCAUUACCCAUUUAAUUGAAAUCUUACCAAGGGAAAUAACUUUUUUACAGCUUAGUUUAGAAUUUUUAUGUUUAGCUAUUGUUCUUGCUUCAUUUCUUUGCUUGUAGAGCUGCACCUCAUUUUGAUGUUGUUUUGUAUAUAGGAAAGAUUUUGAUUAGUGCCAUAUACACACUAAGUUCAUAUAAAACUGUUUCCUCCAUAUUUUUUAUGAAAUGUUUCACAACAACUUCAAGUAUUGCAAUAGUAAUUUAAUAUUACUAAUUUUACCUUUCUAUCUGUUGUUUUACAAUCAAUUCUGAAUAGAUUUAAAAUAAAACAUUUCUUUUUGUGCCAUCCUGACAUCUUUGCCAUUUGAUUUAAAGUUUGUAAAUGGGACUUUGGCUUGACUACUAGACUGUGUUGUGACUACUAGACUGUGUUGUGAGUCUUUUUUUUAAUUGAUCCAGCCACUGGCUGUGUUGAUAAUGCUAUUCAGAUUCUUUUUUCUUUUUUUGACACAGUUAUUAAACAAUAUAUUUUGAACAAAUAAA
rnacentral:sRNA from 1 species